GGCUUUUGUGCAGGGGCAGAGGGACCCUGAUGUGCAGGUGAGACACCAAAAUUAUCUUUAAAUUAUCCUAAAUUAUCCAAAAAACCCCAUAGAGUUAUCCUAAAUUAUCACUGAGUUAUCCCCAAAAAUCCCUCCCUCAGCUGUGCCAUCAGGGCAUUCACACAGGGACAGAGGGACCCUGAUGUGCAGGUGAGACACAAAAAUAGCCAAAAAACCCCAU